rnacentral:rRNA from 1 species
UACGUAGGGCGCGAGCGUUGUCCGGAAUUAUUGGGCGUAAAGAGCUCGUAGGCGGCCUGUUGCGUCCGCUGUGAAAGCCCGGGGCUUAACCCCGGGUCGGCAGUGGAUACGGGCAGGCUAGAGGUAGGUAGGGGAGAAUGGAAUUCCCGGUGUAGCGGUGAAAUGCGCAGAUAUCGGGAGGAACACCGGUGGCGAAGGCGGCAUCCUGGACCGGUAU